AUUUAAAUAGCUUAAAAUUAAAGCUUAAUAUUGAAGAUAUUAUGAUGGUGUAAACCUUUAAAUA